rnacentral:SRP_RNA from 1 species
GCCAGGUGUGGUGGCAAACACCUGUAAUUCCAGUUACUUGGGAGGCUAAGGGAGGAGAAUCACUUGAACCUGAGCCGAGAUUGUACCACUGCACUUCAGCCUGGGCGACAAGAGCGAAACUCUGUCUCAAAAAAANNNNNNNNNNUUUUUUUGAGACAGAGUUUCGCUCUUGUCGCCCAGGCUGAAGUGCAGUGGUACAAUCUCGGCUCAGGUUCAAGUGAUUCUCCUCCCUUAG